rnacentral:rRNA from 1 species
UACGGAGGGUGCAAGCGUUGUCCGGAAUCACUGGGCGUAAAGGGCGCGUAGGCGGCCUGGUAAGUAGGGGGUGAAAUCCUGCGGCUUAACCGCAGGGCUGCCUUCUAAACUGUCAGGCUUGAGCACGGUAGAGGCAGAUGGAAUUCCCGGUGUAGCGGCGGAAUGCGUAGAGAUCGGGAAGAACAUCAGUGGCGAAGGCGGUCUGCUGGGCCGUUGCUGACGCUGAGGCGCGACAGCGUGGGGAGCAAACAGG